AUCCAGCUGACGAGUUCCAAAUUGGACGAAACGCUAGUCCUGGAA
rnacentral:hammerhead_ribozyme from 1 species